GCAUAACGCGAAGAACCUUACCAGGUCUUGACAUCCCUCUGACCGAUCCUUAACCGGAUCUUCUCUUCGGAGCAGAGGUGACAGGUGGUGCAUGGUUGUCGUCAGCUCGUGUCGUGAGAUGUUGGGUUAAGUCCCGCAACGAGCGCAACCCUUAUCCUUUAGUAGCCAGCAGUUCGGCUGGGCACUCUAGAGAGACUGCCAGGGAUAACCUGGAGGAAGGUGGGAUGACGUCAAAUCAUCAUGCCCCUUAUGAUCUGGGCUACACACGUGCUACAAUGGUGAUAACAAAGUGAAGCAGCCUCGUGAGAGUGAGCAAAUCACAAAAAGUACAUCUCAGUUCGGAUUGUAGUCUGCAACUCGACUACAUGAAGCUGGAAUCGCUAGUAAUCGCGAAUCAGAAUGUCGC
rnacentral:rRNA from 1 species